rnacentral:rRNA from 1 species
AUUGAACGCUGGCGGCAGGCCUAACACAUGCAAGUCGAACGAAGUCUUCGGACUUAGUGGCGGACGGGUGAGUAACACGUGGGAACGUGCCUUUAGGUUCGGAAUAACUCAGGGAAACUUGUGCUAAUACCGAGUGUGCCCUUCGGGGGAAAGAUUUAUCGCCUUUAGAGCGGCCCGCGUCUGAUUAGCUAGUUGGUGAGGUAAAGGCUCACCAAGGCUACGAUCAGUAGCUGGUCUGAGAGGAUGACCAGCCACAUUGGGACUGAGACACGGCCCAAACUCCUACGGGAGGCAGCAGUGGGGAAUCUUGCGCAAUGGGCGAAAGCCUGACGCAGCCAUGCCGCGUGGAUGAUGAAGGUCUUAGGAUUGUAAAAUCCUUUCACCGGUGAAGAUAAUGACUGUAGCCGGAGAAGAAGCCCCGGCUAACUUCGUGCCAGCCGCCGCAGUAACAC